CGGGAAACCGGAGCUAAUACCGGAUAAUAUAUUGAACCGCAUGGUUCAAUAGUGAAAGACGGUUUUGCUGUCACUUAUAGAUGGAUCCGCGUCGCAUUAGCUAGUUGGUAAGGUAACGGCUUACCAAGGCAACGAUGCGUAGCCGACCUGAGAGGGUGAUCGGCCACACUGGAACUGAGACACGGUCCAG
rnacentral:rRNA from 1 species